AAAGAACCCACAGGGAUUUGCCCUAGUACCGGCGAGUGAAGCGGCAACAGCUCAAAUUUGAAAUCUGGCCUCUUUGGGGGUCCGAGUUGUAAUUUGCAGAGGGUGCUUUGGCGUUGGCUGUGGUCUAAGUUCCUUGGAACAGGACGUCGCAGAGGGUGAGAAUCCCGUAUGUGGCCGCCAGUCUUCGCCGUGUAAAGCCCCUUCGACGAGUCGAGUUGUUUGGGAAUGCAGCUCUAAAUGGGAGGUAAAUUUCUUCUAAAGCUAAAUAUUGGCCAGAGACCGAUAGCGCACAAGUAGAGUGAUCGAAAGAUGAAAAGCACUUUGGAAAGAGAGUCAAAAAGCACGUGAAAUUGUUGAAAGGGAAGCGCUUGCAGCCAGACUUGCUUGCAGUUGUUCAGCCGGGCUCUUGCCCGGUCUACUCUUCUGCUCGCAGGCCAGCAUCAGUCCGGGCGGUUGGAUAAAGGCCUAUUAAACGUACCUCCCCUCGGGGAGGACUUAUAGGGUAGGCGACAUGCAACCAGCCCGGAUUGAGGUCCGCGCAUCUGCUAGGAUGCUGGCGUAAUGGCUGUAAGCGGCCCGUCUUGAAACACGGACCAAGGAGUCUAACAUCUAUGCGAGUGUUUGGGUGUCAAGCCCGAGCGCGUAAUGAAAGUGAACGGAGGUGGGAACCUUUCGGGGUGCACCAUCGACCGAUCCUGAUGUCUUCGGAUGGAUUUGAGUAAGAGCAUAGCUGUUGGGACCCGAAAGAUGGUGAACUAUGCCUGAAUAGGGUGAAGCCAGAGGAAACUCUGGUGGAGGCUCGCAGCGGUUCUGACGUGCAAAUCGAUCGUCAAAUUUGGGCAUAG
rnacentral:rRNA from 1 species